GCAUAUCAAUAAAGCGGGAGGAAAAAGAAAACUAACAAAGGAUUCCCCCUAGUAACUGCGAGUGAAGCGGGAAGAGCUCAAAUUUAAAAUCUGGCGACCUCGUCGUCCGAGUUGUAAUCUGGAGAAGCAUUUUCUGUGUCGGACCGUGUACAAGUCUCUUGGAACAGAGCGUCGUAGAGGGUGAGAAUCCCGUCUUUGACACGGGCUGCCGAUGCUAUGUGAUGUGCUCUCGAAGAGUCGAGUUGUUUGGGAAUGCAGCUCAAAAUGGGUGGUAAAUUCCAUCUAAAGCUAAAUAUUGGCGAGAGACCGAUAGCGAACAAGUACCGUGAGGGAAAGAUGAAAAGCACUUUGGAAAGAGAGUUAAACAGUACGUGAAAUUGUUGAAAGGGAAACGCUUGAAGUCAGUCGCGUCGUCCGGGACUCAGCCUUGCUCUUUUGCUUGGUGUACUUCCCGGCUGACGGGCCAACAUCGAUUUUGGCCGGCGGAUAAAGGCGAGAGGAAUGUGGCACCUUCUGGUGUGUUAUAGCCUCCCGUUGGAUACGCCGGCCGGGGAUCGAGGACCGCAGCAUGCCUUUUUGGCCGGGGUUCGCCCACGUAACAUGCUUAGGAUGUUGGCGUAAUGGCUUUAAACGACCCGUCUUGAAACACGGACCAAGGAGUCUAACAUGCCCGCGAGUGUUAGGGUGGAAAACCCUUGCGCGUAAUGAAAGUGAAAGUUGGGACCUCUGUCGUGGAGGGCACCGACGCCCGGCCUUGAACUUCUGUGACGGUGCCGCGGUGGAGCGUGUAUGUUGGGACCCGAAAGAUGGUGAACUAUGCCUGAAUAGGGUGAAGCCAGAGGAAACUCUGGUGGGAGGCUCGUAGCGAUUCUGACGUGCAAAUCGAUCGUCAAAUUUGGGUAUAGGGGCGAAAGACUAAUCGAACCCAUCUAGUAGCUGGAUCUGCGA
rnacentral:rRNA from 1 species